CGCGCGCACCGCGCAGCAACGCGCACGCGCAUUGGGCGCUCAGCGGCGGCCCCUGGGAGUGACGUCACGCGCCAUGCGCUGAAGGGCCUUCCCUGUGUCACGUCUAACCAGCGCCCGGCUAGCUCAGUCGGUAGAGCAUGGGACUCUUAAUCCCAGGGUCGUGGGUUCGAGCCCCACGUUGGGCGCAUUAGUUUUGUGCCCUCUCCGCCGAUUCCCUUUCGGAGUGCUCCCGGCGGGAAACCGCCCGCUUCACGUUGGGCGCAGCAGUUUUGUGCCCCUCACCCGUUUGGAGGCAUCCCGGCGGGAAAACGCCGCCCCACCAUCCCUGAGGGGGAUCCACCGCCCGCUCCGCCUUGGGCCUAGCGCUUUUGUGCCCCUCGCUCUUUAGGAGCGCUCCCGUCGGGAAACUGCUGCCUCACCACCCUCUCCCAACAUCCCUGAGGGGGAUUCACAGCCUGCUCCAGGACUCAGCUGGAGCUGUUUGCAGUUGGCUAGCACCCAUCUUAUGGAAUGGCAUCCAGUCCAGAAACAAGAACUUUAGAGGAAAAUCCUCCAGUUACUGCAGGGGUCCCAGGACUCUGCGCUUCAGCUCAGCAGUAACACAGGAGUCAGGAAUUCUGGUCCUGCCAGAAACAGCAGCUGUUGGAGCUGUUCAGUGAUGCAGAAACCCCACAGGAGAGGCUUUGUGUGGGCAGAACGAAGACAAGGUCGCAGAACACGCCAGGAGAGUUCCAGGGUACAUGUGCACAGCAGCACAGGAAUAUCCUGAAAAAGGCUAAGAAUAUCCUGAAUUUCCUCAGCUGCAGUCUGCUGCAGUUCUGGAAAAUGACAUCAUUGCACCACCACGACCACGGGCUCCAUAGGAGUUUCAUCCUUCCCUCUGAGAACCUUACGGACACGAGUAAUCCCUCCCAGCUCCACAGGGUUUGUGCUGAUGGAAAACUCUCCUCUCGGGAGCAAGCCUUGCUAAGCUCUGGCUCAGUUCUUACUGAGGUAAAACAUGACCUGGGUCACAGAGGUGCAGCCCAAAUUAUCCAAAUUAUAACAGAAAAUGAGCAGCAGAGCCUGGCCCUGUGUGUUCUGUACACCUGAGGCUGACUCUGCGCCUGGCACUGGGACAGCGCCCAUUUAUCCAGACUGGAAUUCCAUGAGAACAUGGUCUCUGAAAACCAACCUCAUCCCAGGACUAUAAAACAACUUCUCACAGCUACACCUGGUUUUCCAUGCUUUCUCUGUAACAGCCAUGCAGCUCAUCCAAAGUGGGAACAAGGGAAUUCAAAAACACAGCUUCUGCCAGUACCUCUGGGGAGAAAUCACUGGCAGAACUCUGAGACCUCUGUCACCAACCAGCAAAGUCUCACCUAACACAGACUCUAACACUUGAAACAGCAGUUCCUGGGUUUUGUGGCUUUUUUCAUUUGAAAACCAUUAAAUUAAAAGGGAGCAUCUCCUCCCAUGUGCCAACUAACACCAUGUGUUAAGGCAAAGCACGUAUGAAACAGAACGGCAAGUGAGCCAGGGAGUCAACUUUGCCCUCACACCCCUGUUUACAAUUAAUCUGCAAUAAUUUAUUACAAUUUAUAAUUCUGAAAUCUUUCUUGGAGGAGAGAUACUGGAAGAGUUUUCAGCUCAGCAUUACAUCAGAACUACAGGCACACGAGUUCUCUGCUAAAACUCUCAAAACAGGACGGUGUCCAGGGGAAAUAAUGUCCCACCACCUCUGCUGAACAGCCCCAAACCAUUUCCUCACAGGUGAUUCGAGGGUGGAAUAUUUUCAUGCAGGACUUGGCAGAAAAAAAACCUUCCAUACAUAUUUUUCUCCCAUGGAUAUUUCCCCUCCUUCUUCUAAGCAUAUUUAAAAUUAAAAUCUCUCAAAACAAAUUCUCUCAGCAGUGCCAUUUACUAUACAGAUAAAUAACAAACAACUCAGGAGGGUAUGACUCAUGACAGUGCAGAAUUUCUUCAGAACAAGACAAAAAAACACAGGAGUUGCCAGAAUGAAGUUCUUAAACUACAACUGGACAUGUUUUUAAAUAGUGUUAGUGCCUACACUCCCUGAAAACAUCCAGGUUGCUGAUAUUUAAUAGUGUUACACACAAAGUACUUCAUAAAAAAACGAAACCCAAAGCACAUGUAUCUGAAACGGUGCAGAAUCCUUGUGUAACGUGCAGGUGCUUAUUUCUCUGUAGAAAAAGCCCUUUUCAUCAGUGGUGGGGGUGCUUUUCCAACGUCAAACAUCAUUUCCAGAGGAGGAUUGUUCAGGCAGCACCAGUCGGGGAUGCGGCCUGUCUGGCUGUAAUAUUCCUUGGACACGGAUCGGCUCCCAAGGAUGUCC